rnacentral:lncRNA from 1 species
UCACCAUUCCGGUUUCUGCACUCCGGUUUCUGCAAGUCAUAUUAUGUACAAGAUUGGAUCAUGUGUCUUGCAAUUUAGUAUUGCAUGACGGGGAAAUCGGUUUCAUUAAUUGAUGUUGAACUCUUGCCCUGGAUGUAUGUUUGAUAUACCUCGUCCUGACAUGUGGGUUGCGAGUUUUUAGUACACAGUGGAACCCCAGUUAUGUGACUUGGAGGGGACCACACAAAACCGUCGCAUAAUAAGAAAACUAAGAAUAUAAACGAUGCUCACUCCGGCUAAAAAAAAAUAGGUACAUACCACCUGAAUAAGCCUGCGGCACGAACCUUCACUUCUCCAAGGAAGGUACAAUAAAUUAUAUUAAAAAAUGACAGCCAUGCGUUAAUGGGCCUUUUCUGGGUCCGAACAGCACUUCUAGCGGGGUUCGGCGAUAUCGAAACUGGCGGGCCUCCAAAAUUGUCCGCCCCGCACUGGUAGACAAUCUCAAAGGCCUGCAUUCGCACCUUUCUUUGGGGGAAACAUACGCAAGUUUGUGACAUGAGAUGUCGCUUGGUUUUGCACCAGUCAUCGCGUUUUGGCCACCAAAAAUCAUGGCGCGGGCCUCGUCAAUGUCGGCACGCAUGCGCAGACUACCUACCCGGAAAAGUUCCAUUGGAGUAGGCGUAGGUGAACAUUUAUUGUCACCUUUAGGAAAAUAUCGAAUCUAAUGGGCAUCUACUUUCUGAUAAAACUAGAACAAACAUUUUCUCUGCGUACAAACAAAAUGGAAAUAACGUUGGCAACAGCCUCCCGUCAGAGGCUUCAGAUACAGUGUCAUUGCCAUCACAAAAUGGCAACGGACCAUAUUUUGUUGUGGGUUUGCAUAAGAUAAUUCCGGGCACGACUGCGUCCCGUGUGCAUUGUAUUUGUUUCCAAUGAAGUGCAAUUGGUGAUGUUCCACUUUUAUUAUGGAUGCUCACGUCACAGGGAAGUUAUUUUGCACGUUGAAGAUAGCUUCGCCGUGCUCUUUUCACAUGCUCAUGGCCUGUGACCGUCAGUAGCGCAAACAGAGGGAGAACUUCAGCUGCAUGUCGACCAGGAAAGGUUUCCACGGGCCGAAAACGGGAAAAUAUUCAGACCUCGAGGACGAGCUUGCCGACUAGCUUAAAGGGACACUUAAGGCAAAUAACAAUUGGUGCUAGGGUGAAAAGCAAAUGCUUGAGAAUGUCUGAAAGUCUAUAUUAUGCACAGUAGACUCGAUAAUUCAAACUCGAGGGGACCUCCGAAUUUUGUUUGAAUGAUCACAAGUUCUCAUAAACAAGACUCAGGGCAACAUACCAACCAGUGUUGUGAUGUUUGUUUCUCAGGGCCGCAGCAAGAUCAUAGACAGCUCUGCAUAAUUGCCAGUAAAAAUUUUAGACAUCAGCGAUCAUACUGAUACUCGUGAUUAUAGAAGGCGUGCACGCGUGUGUAAUUAAGGGACGAAAUAUAUUGUGCCCCAUGGCUGCUGGUACCCCCUUCCGAAUGUUAGGACGCUUUCCACCAUUACAGUAGUGUUCUGCGGCGAAGGUAACUUAAAGGAGCGUUUGGCACGCAACUGCCUCGGCUUUUUAAAAUUUUUUCUUCCUCGGUCACUAUGUGAUAGUUGGUGCGCGCGGUUUGGCUAGUUUGGCUGUUUUGUCGGCAGGCAAUUGGCUUUAUUUGCAACUUUUAGUGACAUAAAAACGCAAAUUUUCAGCUAGAAGCAAUAAAGGCAGCAGAUAUUUCCAGGCAUGGACAAGCAAAAUGUCUGAAUUAACCGAAUUUGUGCUAUGGGGUAGUUUGAAUUAAGCGGCUUUAAAAUACUUUGAAAACAUAGCAGGCCAACCAAAAAAUUAAGAUUUGUUUGAAUUAACCGAAAGUAUCAAUUAUCAGAGUUUGAAUUAUCGAGAGUCUACUGUAAGUGUAGGCCUCAGUACAUUCGCCAUUCAACAUAGUUGUAUGCAGUCUAUGAUAACUUAGGUUUUCUUAGAUACCAUAGAGUGACUUCACUAAUGGAUUCUGUUGCCAUAAAGAACUUACAAUUCUAUGAAGUCUGAGUGGAGUUACUGGAGGAGGCAAGCGCUUUCUCCUUUUGUUGUCAUGAGUGUGCUGGAAGCUGCACAGACGGCGAUGGGAAGGAGGUGAUGCUCCAGUAAAAAGUUAUAUCGCUGCAUGUCAUUGCCUCGAACAUUUUUUUUUCUUUGAAUACGUUAUCGACGACUUCUCCUUCAGACAUGCAUGGUGCAUACACACUGUGGCACCCCGUGGUGCUGCGCCAGCUACACAGCAUGAGUCCUUUGAGAUCGUUUGCCGGCUAGCCAUUCAUGAAAUAAGCCAUUAACUGUCGUCCAUAAUUGGUGCUGACUUUGUCAAGGAGAGAGCAGGUGCCUGCUUCGUGCAGUGCAAUAAUGCCUUGCUUGACAUGUUCCCAAAGUCGGCACCAUUCUCUGACCAUGUUCAAAACGUCUUGCAGGGCCCCUCAAAUGCACUUUCAAAAGAAAGUGUAGUUGGGGCAUUUUUCGGAUGCGCAACCAUUAUCAUAAUGUAUCCCGCAUGCCUUCCCUUUCGUGAUGCCUGGCACUUCUAACAACAAAUAGCGAGCGUGCGCAUUAUCAGCAUGAAAUCGCAUUCUCGAUGGGAAAGUAGCUAGCGCACAGUUUUCGAGAAAGGAAAUGGAAGCAGUCCAGAUGACAAUUACUGUUGUGGGGCAGAAAGACACCAGAUAUCCCUUUUUCUUUAUCGAGCGUAAUAUUCAUGUUACACAGGCAAAGAAAAUUCCAGUUCCAUUAACUUCCUAAUGCCUUAAAGGGGUCGUCAAAAGAAAACGAAGCUGCCCGGUUGUAAUUUUCCCUGCUUCAACAAGGACUAGACAUGCCGAUUCCGAAAUAUUUCGGCGCUAUGUUCAGUCUAUAAUUAAUGACGCCCGUUUGAAAUCGCAGUUUUCUUGGGCUCCUAAACGACUAUGCGGCACUACCGGCCGCCAUAGGCACUAACAUGUGACGUCAAGCUAACAGAAGUUAUAAACAUAGCGUUAGCUUUCUUUUGCUCUAAAAUAAUUGAUUUAUAGGAAUCUAGAAAAGAAACAACUAACACAGCAACUUUUGCGCUCCGAGUUGUGUACUGUGCAAGUACAGCACUUGAUGUGCUUGCUUCCGCUUUCAAGUACAUCCGGGCUCCAUCGUGCGUAUUCUUGCCUUCUCUUGCAUGGUGCAGCAUCCCAGUUUUUUCUUUCUGGUUGCGUUAGGUUGUGUUUUACGGUGUGUUUUCGGUGGCUUAGUCCUCAGACAGUGCCGUACAACUUAUCGAAGUGGAAACAACGUUCGCUUUCACAAGCUGCCGGCGUGACAAUCGAGACGGUAUGAUGCUACGAAUCUCGGCCAACUAUGGCUCAGCAAACAUCGCUGCGUCACCAUGUUUUGUCGACGACAGAUACUUUUCAUUGACUGACUUAAAGUGACGUCAGCUGUACAGUUGAGGGUCACGUGAGCUGGGAAAUCGUAACUGUGAUUUUAUAGUUAUUAAAUGAACCCGGAUGAUGAAUUGAGUUGAGGUAUAGUAUUGAAUGGACGGCCAGGAUUCCGAAUACACGCGUAGUUGAAAAUUUUCGGAAAACGUUUCAUGACCCCUAAGGCUUAAUGCCAUUAAUGUGAUGUCAUGUCAAAUGUUAUCCACUACCUAAUGCAUUCAACAGAACUCAUUAGACUAUGAAAUGCAUACUCUUGAUGCCAUAGCUUUCACAGAGCAGUAUAAUUGAAGCAUUUGAAAUGGUUUCUGUAAUGUAAAAUAUGUGUUAUAUAUGACUUUUAACAACUGACAGGUUAUUCCCAAGUUGCACUUGGCAAAAUUCAGUUCAGCAUUGCAAUGGCUUGGACUUGACAGGUGCCAUGUUGUGUCUGGGCUCCGAAUUCAACAUUCAGUGGCUGAAAUGACUAUGAUCAGUUUGUGUUGUAAAAGAGAGCAGCAAACUCAUGCUAAUGGAACCAUAGUUUGCUUAUAGUAUUUCUGCAUUUCACUAACCUUAAUGCAGAUAAUACCAUUAUAAAAAAUGCAUGCUUAAUCCUUGGUAAUAUUUCAACAUUGCUUAAAAAAGAGAGCAGCAAAAUAGUUUGCUUAUAGUAUUUCUGCAUUUCACUAAACUGAAUGCAGAUAAUACGAUUAUAAAAAUGCAUGCUUAAUCCUUGUUAAUAUUUCAACAUUGCUUGUUUCAUAAGCCACUGUUGGUAACAUCAUCAGCAGGUCAAGUGUCAUUAAAUUUAGUCGUGCGGCAGUUCCACUGAAGAAAGGGUCAUUCAGGAAUUAAAGGCCUUAACUGCUGAAUGUCAUUUCUUGUGCGUGUCUGGCAUUGGUAUCACAAUAUAAUCGGCUUACUAACCUUGUGGGCUUCCUUACAUGGGCUCUUUGCUUUUCUUUUGAGUUGAUGAAUGUGCAUUUCCACC